rnacentral:rRNA from 10 species
UGACCUCAAAUCAGGUAGGAUUACCCGCUGAACUUAA